UAACUAUUGUGCUCAUUGGGUGGCCUAUCAGUAUAGGCAGAAUAGGGAAGCCGGUGCAAAUCCGGCGCAGUCGCGCUACUGUAACUGGUGAGCGACUCAUCCUCUCAUGAAGAAGAGAGCAAGCCACCAUUCUGAAUUGAAUGGGAAGGCAGGAUGAGGAGCGCUUGGAGCCAGGAGCCAGGAGACCUGCCCGAUGAGGAAUGCUCAA
rfam:Ktedonobacter sp. 13_2_20CM_53_11 13_2_20cm_scaffold_1707, whole genome shotgun sequence.